GUGAUGGAUGGGGAUGCGUCUGAUUAGCUUGUUGGCGGGGUAACGGCCCACCAAGGCUACGAUCAGUAGGGGUUCUGAGAGGAAGGUCCCCCGCAUUGGAAUUGAGACACGGUCCAAACUCCUACGGGAGGCAGCAGUGAGGAAUAUUGGUCAAUGGACGAGAGUCUGAACCAGCCAAGUAGCGUGCAGGAUGACGGCCUAUGGGUUGUAAACUGCUUUUAUAAGGGAAUAUGUACCUUAUGAAUAAGGACCGGCUAAUUCCGUGCCAGCAGCCGCGGUAAUACGGAAGGUCCGGGCGUUAUCCGGAUUUAUUGGGUUUAAAGGGAGCGUAGGCCGGAGAUUAAGCGUGUUGUGAAAUGUAGAUGCUCAACAUCUGCACUGCAGCGCGAACUGGUUUCCUUGAGUACGCACAAAGUGGGCGGAAUUCGUGGUGUAGCGGUGAAAUGCUUAGAUAUCACGAAGAACUCCGAUUGCGAAGGCAGCUCACUGGAGCGCAACUGACGCUGAAGCUCGAAAGUGCGGGUAUCGAACAGGAUUAGAUACCCUGGUAGUCCGCACGGUAAACGAUGGAUGCCCGCUG
rnacentral:rRNA from 1 species